GCAUAAGUGGCCGAGCGGUCUAAGGCGACAGACUCAAGUUCUGUUACUGGUAACAGUGCGCAGGUUCGAAUCCUGUCUUAUGCA
rfam:Pichia membranifaciens NRRL Y-2026 unplaced genomic scaffold PICMEscaffold_1, whole genome shotgun sequence.